UACGUAGGGUGCAAGCGUUGUCCGGAAUUAUUGGGCGUAAAGAGCUCGUAGGCGGUCUGUUGCGUCGGCUGUGAAAACCCGGGGCUCAACUCCGGGCCUGCAGCCGAUACGGGCAGACUAGAGUUCGGCAGGGGAGACUGGAAUUCCUGGUGUAGCGGUGAAAUACGCAGAUAUCAGGAAGAACACCGGUGGCGAAGGCGGCUCUCUGGGCCUUACCUGACGCUGAGGAGCGAAAGCGUGGGUAGCGAACAGG
rnacentral:rRNA from 1 species